AGUAAUGUCUGGGAAACUGCCCGAUGGAGGGGGAUAGCUACUGGAAACGGUAGCUAAUAUCGCAUAACGUCGCAAGACCAAAGAGGGGGACCUUCGGGCCUCUUGCCAUCGGAUGUGCCCAGAUGGGAUUAGCUAGUAGGUGGGGUAAUGGCUCACCUAGGCGACGAUCCCUAGCUGGUCUGAGAGGAUGACCAGCCACACUGGAACUGAGACACGGUCCAG
rnacentral:rRNA from 1 species